UUUAUGAGCGGUGGGCGGGAGACCGCAGUUUAGGAUCGUUUGGCGCGACGGCGGCGAAUCUGAACGAAACGCCGGCCGCGGGGGAGACCCCCGCGGCCCGCGUAUCCCUCCGAUAUCCGAGUGCGAGCUUCCUCUGCCCUAACCAUCACUCGCAGGGGGGAUCGGGAAUAGAGGAUGUCGGGGUAUGGAGGAAAAGGAGAAAGGCGAGUUAGUUUGGAGGGGAUGGAGGAGUGGAUCGCCAGCGCCGUUUUCGUCGGCAGGGAAGGCGGUGAUGGGUCCGUCGGCAAGUUGGAGGGUCUCCAUCUCCUCCCUCAGCGACAGGGAAGGCGCAAAGCCGAAGCGGUUCAUUCCAGGAUCCAUCAACUGCUGAUUUUUCCUUUGAUUUGCUGAUCUCUGCGCGGUGGAAGCUAUUGCAUAUUCUCCAAGGAAAGAACUCUUGCAAAUUAAAGGAUGUAAGAGUUUUGUGCCUUUCUUUGUGGAUACGGGGUCUGCUAGACCCUCAUUCAUUCAAUUUAUUUGAGGCCCAAGUUCUCUUAUGGUGAACCGGGGCGGGGAAG